AGUCCUGUGGCGCAAUGGAUAGACGUUAUGCGUCUGACUACGGAUCAGAAGAUUCCAGGUUCGACUCCUGGCGGGAUUG
rnacentral:tRNA from 2 species